AGGGGAAUUUUGCACAAUGGGGGAAACCCUGAUGCAGCGACGCCGCGUGAUUUAGAAGGCCUUCGGGUUGUAAAAAUCUUUUCUAUGGGAAGAAAAUGACAGUACCAUAGGAAUAAGGACUGGCUAAUUACGUGCCAGCAGCCGCGGUAAUACGUAAGGUCCGAGCGUUGUCCGGAAUCAUUGGGCGUAAAGGGUACGUAGGCGGAUAAGCAAGUUAGAAGUGAAAUCCUAUAGCUCAACUAUAGUAAGCUUUUAAAAAUGUUCAUCUUGAGGUAUGGAAGGUAAAGUGGAAUUCCUAGUGUAGCGGUGAAAUGCGCAGAUAUUAGGAGGAAUACCGGUGACGAAGGCGACUUUCUGGCCAUAUACCGACGCUGAGGUACGAAAGCGUGGGUAGCAAACAGG
rnacentral:rRNA from 1 species